CGCCCAGGCCUUGCAUUACUCAUAAAUCAUGUACGGCUAUAGGCACGUAUAAAGUGAGUGUUCUUAAAUCGUCGGUGACUUUCUGUCUGAUAUAUACAGGAAAAUGGCUGAAAAAGAACAUACUACUGAUUCCGCAGCUUACGGGGAUGUGAAAUCAAGAAAGAGCUUUUUUGAAAGUGUUUUCUCCGACAAGUCGGGCAAACUGCCAACACGGACACUGCAGGGAAAAAACAAAACAUCGCCCCAAACAGAAAAAGGCCAGAGUCAUCUUGCCGGAAAUCAAAGUUCAACAGUUGUUGCUAAGAAGGACCGAGACCAAGGCAAAGAGGAGUUGCAUGAUCAGAGGAAAGAUGACAAGGUUGAAGUUGAACAACGUUUAACAAAAACACCCGAGAACAGAAAAACUCGAGAUUGGUUUCCGCACAAUCUUGAAGUUUUUAAAAAGCCGAUGUGUUUAAUAAGCACCGAGGGCGAAAAUAUUCUCAAAGUAGAAGAAGAAACUUUGAAACAGAUCGAAAAGAUCGAUCUUCCGUGCUGCGUGGUGGUCGUCGCAGGGUUGUACAGGACCGGGAAAUCGUACUUGAUGAAUCGACUGGCGGAAGCUCAUUCAGGUUUUGCAUUAGGGGAUACAAUUGAAUCAAAAACUAAGGGAAUAUGGGUUUGGUGCAAAAUGCAUCCGGAGAAAAAGCAAACUGUCCUUAUUCUACUCGAUACAGAGGGACUUGGAGACGUAAAAAAGGGUGAUCAGAAACAUGACAACAGACUCUUUACCCUGGCAGCGCUCCUGUCCAGUACUUUGGUUUACAACAUGAAAGGAACCUUUGAUCAGGACGCGGUUAGCAAGCUGACAUUUGUUUCCGAAAUAGCGAACAACAUUCAAUUUAAAGGCAGAAAACAAGCUGACAACUGCGGACUGAAGCUUAUUCUUCCGACAUUUAUUCUGGUAUUGAGAGAUUUUGCUUUAAAAAUCGUAAUAAAAGGUCGAAAACUCUCCCAAGAUGAAUACCUGGAAGAUUGUUUGAAGAGCGAUUCUACGAGAGAUGAUGAAUUUAACGAACCCCGAGAGGCAAUACGGACAUAUUUUCCUCAACGAAAAUGCUUUACUCUUCCUGCUCCAGGAGACUCGGAAGUCGUUGAAAAUCUGGAAAUGCUUGAAUUUGGCGAUCUUUGUAAGGCGUUUCAAACAAGGACUGCUGAAUUUGUUUCAUUUGUGUACAGCGAAGACCAUAAAAAGCUCGGAUUUGGCAAACCAGUCAAUGGGUCGAAAAAACAUGGACUUAAUUUUCACGAAGCUGAAAUCUGAGAAUGAACGAUCAGUGCAAGAAAAAUGCGCAGUCACACUUACUGAGUUGGAGACCAUGAAGCAAUUCCAAAAACGACUUGAAUCACAGAAGUAUGAGGUUCCGGGAGGCCAUACCAGCUUUAAGACAGAUGUUGAACGCAUUAAACAAGAAUACAUGGCGGCCUUAAAGGAGUUUAGCACUGGAGAGGUACUGACGACUUAUACUAGCUUUUAUCAGCAAUUGUCAGACAAGGAAAUUAACAUUAUCCAAAUGGACAACAAACUGUCAGAAGAUGAAAGAAAAAAACAAGCCGACAACCGCGAGAGAACAAUGAAGUCUAUGGUUGAAGAAAUUAAACAAGAUAACAAACAAUUGCUCGAGAGAUUGGAUAAAGUAAGGCACGCACAACACAAGAAUAUACAAAAGGAACGUAAAGAGAAGUUUGAGGAAGAGAAUGAGGAGCUAAAGAGAAAAUCAGCAAGUUUCACUGAGGAGGAGCGAAAAAGGUUGGCACAACUUGAAACGGAAAAGAUUGAGAUCAAAAACAUGAACGCAUGGGGGAGAUUUAAAUGCCUUUUUACAGGAUAUUGAUUGCUUACAGAAGAAUCUCGAAGUUAGAUUUGUGUCUUAACAAACUCUUUUCUUUUCUAAAAUCUAUAUCCAUGUUAAUUAAAAAUAAAACUAUUCUUGUUCCAUAAAUUGCCAAAAUCCUGAGACCAAAUACGUUAUUUUUGAAUUGAUCGACACGAUAUCAAGGCCGGAAAUGUUUUAUACCACUUGUGCCGACAUUAUGGCAACAACAUAUGUUCAUUAUCAAUAUUUUAACUGCUGUAAAUUCUUUAGGUUAUAGUUUGUUGCCAGCAAUGUCUGUUAAGCCGUUGACAGACUAUGAAGUUGACGGUUACAAGUGAUGUAUACAUCCAUUAAUUCAUAGAAAACUUUGAUUAACCCUAACAGUAAUCACAAUUGUUAUAAUUGUAUUAUUUGUUUCAAGUUGUGCGUGGGUCUUCGUUGAUAGGUGUAUGUAUUUCGGGCUAUCUGCUUAUAUCAUAUAUUGCCGUUUGCUCGAGUACAUCACAUUGAUAAGUGCUAAUGAAUACGUAUUGAUAAAUAACCACUGCGAAAACGGAAAGAAAGUAUUCUUUUCAUUGAAAAUGUUUAUAACCAGGUGGCACAAAUUUGAACGAGUUUUCAAUAAGUUGUCAGGGUUUAUUUCUGAAAUAGCCGAUCAAUGUAGCUCUGGAUCAUCUUCUAAAAAUGCAAAAUGUAGAAUGUUUUUUUUUUCAUUUCGCUCUAUGUACAUUUCAAAAAACAAGAAUAAAAAGAUUAUUUUCAUGACGCGUAUUAAAUCCACAUACGACAUCCACUUCUCGUAUAACCUGUUAUUUAUAAAUGUUAUGUCCAAUGUCAAGCUUUACAACCUGUGUGUUGGUCUCUAUUGUUUUGUUUUGUAUUAUUAUUAUAUGUCCUUCAACCUGUGUAUUGGCUUCUAUUGUUUUGUUUUGUAAUAGUAUUCUAUGGUCUUGAAACCUGUGUAUUGCUUCUAAUUGUUUUGUUUUGUAAAAGUUUUCUUUGGUCUUGAAACCUGUGUAUUGGCUUCUAUUAUAUUGUUUUAAAAAUAGUUUUCUAUGGUCUUGAAACCUGUGUGUUGGUUCUGAUUGUUUUGUUUUUUAAUUAUUUUCUAUGGUCUUGAAACCUGUGUAUUGGUUCUUAUUGGUUUGUUUUGUGAUAAUUUUCUAUGGUCUUGAAACCUGUGUAUUGCUUCUAAUUGUUUUGUUUUGUAAUAAUUUUCUAUGGUCUUGAAACCUGUGUAUUGGUUCUUAUUGUUGUUUUUUUAUAAAAUUUUAUGAUUGUUUAUUGUUUAAAUUUGAUAAUUGGUUUAAAUACCAAAGGCCCCACUGAAAAUAAGCUUUAGGACUUUCCUGCGCAAUCUUUGGUUUCAUAACAUUAUCUACACAUCAUCUCUACUAAACUCAAUUCGUUUACAACAACGACAGUUAUCACAUAAUAUUUUAGUUCUUCAUCUGAUUCAUUACUCGCAUACAUAUGUAUUUAAAAUGUUUCCCCAAGUCCAUCAAGUCUUAAUGCCGAAUAUGAAAUGUCAUUGUAUGUUUACCGGUGAUAUGUAGAAACUAUUAUGUGAAUAAAAAUGAUAAUUCAAAUCUUCAAAAAGUGAACUAUCAAUUUGAUACUUCCCCCACAAUGUUUUUGAAAUUUUAUCCCUAUCUUACUUUCAAAUCAAACGUCAGCACGCACGAGGAUGGGAAUCAAUUUCAAUUUGGCGCACCUUUAUAAAAAAAAACUACAAUGAAUUGUCAUUUAAUGUCCUUUCAAGAAUAUCAUGUAAAGAUAAAUUGUUUGUUUCAUAUUGUGAUUUCUUUAACCUAGCUAACACAAAAACGUAAA